rnacentral:snoRNA from 1 species
GGGCGAUGAUGAAACGAGAAAAUUUUAGACAAGCAUAUGUCUGAUUCCUGACGAGAAAUCUCGCGUCUGAGCCU